rnacentral:rRNA from 1 species
CUCCAGACUCCUACGGGAGGCAGCAGUGGGGAAUAUUGGGCAAUGGGCGCAAGCCUGACCCAGCAACGCCGCGUGAAGGAAGAAGGCUUUCGGGUUGUAAACUUCUUUUCUCAGGGACGAAGAAAGUGACGGUACCUGAGGAAUAAGCCACGGCUAACUACGUGCCAGCAGCCGCGGUAAUACGUAGGUGGCAAGCGUUAUCCGGAUUUACUGGGUGUAAAGGGCGUGUAGGCGGGAAUGCAAGUCAGAUGUGAAAACUAUGGGCUCAACCCAUAGCCUGCAUUUGAAACUGUAUUUCUUGAGUGCUGGAGAGGCAAUCGGAAUUCCGUGUGUAGCGGUGAAAUGCGUAGAUAUUAGGAGGAACACCAGUGGCGAAGGCGGCUUACUGGACUGUAACUGACGUUGAGGCUCGAAAGCGUGGGGAGCAAACAGGAUUAGAUACCCCGGUA